GAUGAACGCUGGCGGCGUGCCUAAUACAUGCAAGUCGAGCGAACAGACGAGGAGCUUGCUCCUCUGACGUUAGCGGCGGACGGGUGAGUAACACGUGGAUAACCUACCUAUAAGACUGGGAUAACUUCGGGAAACCGGAGCUAAUACCGGAUAAUAUAUUGAACCGCAUGGUUCAAUAGUGAAAGACGGUUUUGCUGUCACUUAUAGAUGGAUCCGCGCCGCAUUAGCUAGUUGGUAAGGUAACGGCUUACCAAGGCAACGAUGCGUAGCCGACCUGAGAGGGUGAUCGGCCACACUGGAACUGAGACACGGUCCAGACUCCUACGGGAGGCAGCAGUAGGGAAUCUUCCGCAAAGGGCGAAAGCCUGACGGAGCAACGCCGCGUGAGUGAUGAAGGUCUUCGGAUCGUAAAACUCUGUUAUUAGGGAAGAACGAAUGUGUAAGUAACUAUGCACGUCUUGACGGUACCUAAUCAGAAAGCCGCGGCUAACUACGUG
rnacentral:rRNA from 1 species